rnacentral:misc_RNA from 1 species
CGCAGCCGCGGUAAUUCCAGCUCCAAUAGCGUAUAUUAAAGUUGUUGCAGUUAAAAAGCUCGUAGUUGAAUUUCGGGGUCAGUAGGUUGGUCGUGCCACUGGUAUGUACUGGUCUCACUGAUUCCUCCUUCCUGAUGAACCGUAAUGCCAUUAAUUUGGUGUUGCGGGGAAUCUGGACUGUUACUUUGAAAAAUUAGAGUGUUUAAAGCAGGCUAACGCUUGAAUACAUUAGCAUGGAAUAAUGAAAUAGGACGAUCGAUCCUAUUUUGUUGGUUUCUAGGAUUGACGUAAUGAUUAAUAGGGAUAGUUGGGGGCAUUAGUAUUCAAUUGUCAGAGGUGAAAUUCUUGGAUUUAUUGAAGACUAACUACUGCGAAAGCAUUUGCCAAGGAUGUUUUCAUUAAUCAAGAACGAAAGUUAGGGGAUCGAAGACGAUCAGAUACCGUCGUAGUCUUAACCAUAAACUAUGCCGACUAGGGAUCGGAUGAUGUUAAUUUUUAAUGACUCAUUCGGCGCCUUAAC